rnacentral:rRNA from 1 species
UACGGGGGGGGUAAGCGUUGUUCGGAAUUACUGGGCGUAAAGGGCUCGUAGGCGGCCAACUAAGUCAGACGUGAAAUCCCUCAGCUUAACUGGGGAACUGCGUCUGAUACUGGAUGGCUUGGAUUCGGGAGAGGAAUGCGGAAUUCCAGGUGUAGCGGUGAAAUGCGUAGAUAUCGGGAGGAACACCAAUGGCGAAGGCAGCUCGCUGGGACGGUACUGACGCUGAGGCGCGAAAGCGUGGGGAGCAAACAGG